GAUCACCGCAGCUAAGAGGAAUAGGCCUUGACAGAGCCAGGAGGUAGACAUAGCAGCCACAGGGAGUUAGUGACAGCUAGCAUGCUGGGUAGGGCGGAGCCAUAAGGGGAGUAUUUAUACCAGCCAUUAUAUGAAGUGGCCAUUUUAACUGAACCUAAGCUUACCUGUCAGUUGUGAAAGCUGCCUGCCCUGGAGGGAGAAGGCAGCAGCAUGGAGGCAGCAUAGCAGAACAGGCAGCAUGGAGGCAGCAUGAAGAACAGGCAGCAUGGAGGCAGCAUAGAAGAACAGGCAGCAUGGAGGCAGCAUAGAAGAAC